AUGGACAGCGAUGUACCAGCUAUGGGUUUCAUAUAUGGUGCUUUUUUGGAUGCAAAGAAGGAGAUUGCAGCUAGAUUUGACAAUGAGGAGGCUAGUAUCCAGGAAGUGCUACACAUUAUUGAUAAGAGAUGGGACAACAAAUUGAAGGGGCCCCUACAUAGGGCUGGAUACUUCUUAAACCCAUACUACUACUAUGAAAACAAGCUGGAGAUUGAGUUGGAUGGAACAUUUAAAGAUGGCCUUGUUGUUUGCAUGGAGAAGAUGGUUAGAGAUGGUAAGAAGGAAGAUAUAAUGACAGUUGAGUGCCAGGCAUAUCAAAAUGAAGAGGGGUCGUUUGGAAGGGACAGUGCUAAAAGGCAGCGGAGAAACAAGAACUUUGAUCCAGCUGAAUGGUGGUCCAAUCAUGGAUCAAGUGCACCAAAUCUCAGGGUACUGGCUAUGCGGAUUUUGAGCUUGACAUGCAGCUCAUCAGCUUGUGAGAGAAACUUCAGUGUUUUUCAGCAGGUUCAAGGCAGCAAAAGGCGCAACAGGCUACUUCAUGACAAAAUGAGAGAUCGUGUCUUCAUUAAGGCCAACUCCCAACUUGAACAAAAGAGAAUGAACAAAGACAAGGAUCCACUUGUGGACAGAACACGUGCAGAUGUUGUGGAAGAUGAAGAUAACGAGUGGAUCACAGGAAUUGUGCCGGUUCCAGUUGUGGAUACUGCAGAUGAACCUGAAGAAGAACCAAUACCACAACCGAGAGCAAGAGCUGUUGCAUCAAAAAGAAAUAAAGCUCGUCAGCCUAGGAAGAAGUUGCUCCCAGUUUUUCGUGAUGAUGAGCUGCAAUCUGUGGGUUCUUCUGAUUCGGAUGAUGAUGCCAUGGCAGCAAGUUCAUCUGAUUCUGAUUGA
rnacentral:rRNA from 1 species